rnacentral:tRNA from 1 species
GGAAGUGUGCCCGAGACACCAAGGACUACUUUGAUAGAGUAGACAACAGGAACUAAUCCUCCUCACUUCCU